rnacentral:rRNA from 1 species
AUUAACGCUAGCGGCAGGCAUAAUACAUGCAAGUUGAACGGCAGCACAGGUAGCAAUACCGGGUGGCGAGUGGCGCACGGGUGCGUAACACGUAUGCAACCUACCCUAUACAGGCGAAUAACCUUUAGAAAUGAGGGCUAAUACGCCGUGGUAUUAUCUUGGGGCAUCUUGAGAUAAUUAAAGAUUUAUCGGUAUAGGAUGGGCAUGCGUCCCAUUAGUUAGUUGGUAGGGUAACGGCCUACCAAGGCUAUGAUGGGGUAGGGG